UACGUAGGGUGCAAGCGUUGUCCGGAAUUAUUGGGCGUAAAGAGCUCGUAGGCGGUUUGUCGCGUCUGCUGUGAAACCAGAAGCUCAACUUCUGGCCUGCAGUGGGUACGGGCAAACUAGAGUGCGGUAGGGGAGAACGGAAUUCCUGGUGUAGCGGUGGAAUGCGCAGAUAUCAGGAGGAACACCGAUGGCGAAGGCAGUUCUCUGGGCCGUUACUGACGCUGAGGAGCGAAAGCGUGGGGAGCGAACAGG
rnacentral:rRNA from 1 species